AGGGGCGUAGCUCAAUUUGGCAGAGCAGUGGACUCCAAAUCCACAGGCUGGGGGUUCGAGUCCCUCCGCCCCUGCCA
rnacentral:tRNA from 1 species